rnacentral:rRNA from 1 species
UAGUCCACGCCGUAAACGAUGGACACUAGUUGUUGGGAUUUAUCUCAGUGACUAAGCGAAAGUGAUAAGUGUCCCACCUGGGGAGUACGAUCGCAAGAUUGAAACUCAAAGGAAUUGACGGGGGCCCGCACAAGCGGUGGAGCAUGUGGUUUAAUUCGAUGAUACGCGAGGAACCUUACCAGGGCUUAAAUGUAGUAUGACAGGUUUAGAGAUAGACUUUUCUUCGGACAUAUUACAAGGUGCUGCAUGGUUGUCGUCAGCUCGUGCCGUGAGGUGUCAGGUUAAGUCCCGCAACGAGCGCAACCCCUACUUUUAGUUGCCACCAUUCAGUUGGGCACUUUAAAAGACUGCCAGUGAUAAGCUGGAGGAAGGUGGGGAUGACGUCAAGUCCUCAUGGCCCUUACGUGUUGGGGCUACACACGUGCUACAAUGGGCACUUACAAUGGGGAAGCAAAGAGGU